GGGGAUGACAGGCUUCGAUAGACGGAUCCUGUUAUCUGUAUUUGCGUGUCGAGGGUGGCUUCCCUCGUACUCCAAAGCCAAUCGAUACGUGCAAACGUUAUCACCCGAGCAAAGAACGCGUUGGCGCAAGCUUUUAGCGUUCCACAACUCGCAGCUGUUGUCGCGUAAUUGCCACAACCAUCGCUCUGAUCAUACUCGAUAGUCAGAAACCGGUGUCAACCCAAUCGAGCGUAGAUGCGUGUGCCGCCUGAUCACACCCAUUGAACUCCUAUUCGGGCGCCUCUUGCACAUUUUGUCACUUUCCAAAGUGUUAAGAGUACACAAAUUGACUACACACGUAGACGGUACAGAUAACCCGCGCUAGACCCGAGUUCAAUUCUCGGCAUCUCCACGA
rnacentral:tmRNA from 1 species